UACGUAGGGUGCAAGCGUUGUCCGGAAUUAUUGGGCGUAAAGAGCUCGUAGGUGGUUUGUUACGUCUGCUGUGAAAACCUAGGGCUUAACCCUGGGCUUGCAGUGGAUACGGGCAGACUAGAGGUAGGUAGGGGAGAAUGGAAUUCCUGGUGUAGCGGUGAAAUGCGCAGAUAUCAGGAGGAACACCGGUGGCGAAGGCGGCAUCCUGGACCGGUAUUGACGCUGAGGCGCGAAAGCCAGGGGAGCAAACGGG
rnacentral:rRNA from 1 species